AGCGAACGCUGGCGGCAGGCCUAACACAUGCAAGUCGAACGAAGCCCUCGGGCUUAGUGGCGGACGGGUGAGUAACACGUGGGAACGUACCUUUUGGUUCGGAACAACUCAGGGAAACUUGAGCUAAUACCGGAUGAGCCCUUAGGGGGAAAGAUUUAUCGCCGAAAGAGCGGCCCGCGUUAGAUUAGCUAGUUGGUGAGGUAAAGGCUCACCAAGGCAACGAUCUAUAGCUGGUCUGAGAGGAUGAUCAGCCACACUGGGACUGAGACACGGCCCAGACUCCUACGGGAGGCAGCAGUGGGGAAUCUUGCGCAAUGGGCGAAAGCCUGACGUAGCCAUGCCGCGUGAAUGAUGAAGGUCUUAGGAUUGUAAAAUUCUUUUACCAGGGACGAUAAUGACGGUACCUGGAGAAAAAGCCCCGGCUAACUUCGUGCCAGCCGCCGCAGUAAUAC
rnacentral:rRNA from 1 species